rnacentral:rRNA from 1 species
UUGAAAGGGAAACGAUUGAAGUCAGUCGUNCCNACGAGAAAUCAGCUCAUCGUGUGUUAACUUGUGGGCGUGCGUGAGUUUCGGCCUCGCUGUUUGCAUGUUUGUGCACUUUGGGUGUACUUUUUCGUAUGGUUGGCCAACAUCAGUUUCGAUCACUAUAAAAUGACUGGCGGAAUGUAGCUUCGAUUUCGGUUGAAGUGUUAUAGCCUCUGGUAGAUGUAGUAAUUGGGACUGAGGAUUGCAACGAAUAUCCUUUGGGCUAUCCGUCUGGCCUCUGAAAGUUGCUUGGGUGCUGAAAGCUUGCUUAUGGUUAUCUAAGUUAACGGUCAAUAGGUUAGAACGUGAUUACAUUCGUUAAGGAUGUUGACGUA